AAAGCGAGUCUGAACAGGGCGACCAGUCGCUGGCAAUAGACCCGAAGCGGAGGUGAUCUACGCAUGGUCAGGGUGAAAUCUGGGUAACACCAGAUGGAGGCCCGAACGCGUGAAUGUUGAAAAAUUCUGCGAUGAACUGUGCGUAGGAGCGAAAGACUAAACAAACCCCGUCAUAGCUGGUUCUCCCCGAAAUAUAUUGAGGUAUAGCGUCCGGCCACUAGCGCGCGGAGGUAGAGCACUGGAUGGGAUAGGAGCCUUACCGGGCUACCGAAUCCAACCAAACUCCGAAUGCCGCGUUGCACUACCCGGGCAGUCAGACGGUGGGGGAUAAGCUUCAUCGUCGAGAGUGAAACAUAAACAGACUAUCAGCUAAGGUGCCCAAACUACGUUUAGUGGAAAGGAUGUGAGGUUGCAAAGACAGUGAGGAUGUUGGCUUAGAGGCAGCCACCAUUUAAACAGUGCGUAACAGCUGACUCAUCGAGCGAUCUCGCGCCGAAAAUGAUUGGCGAUCAAACGUAGUACCGAAGCUAUGGAUUCACCGGGUCCUCGGACCGGGUGAGUGGUAGGGGAGCGUUCCAAGCGCAUUGAAGGUGGAAGGUGACUGAAACUGGAGUGCUUGGAAGUGAGAAUGCAGACACGAGUAGCGAUAAAGUCGGUUAAAUUCCGACUCGCCGUAAACCCAAGGUUUCCUGGGGAAGGUUCGUCCGCCCAGGGUUAGUCGGGACCUAAGUCGAGGCCGUAAGGCGUAGAUGAUGGACAGACGGUUAAUAUUCCGUCACCACCUUGGUUUAAGCUGUCAGGAACCCAGAAGGGAAUGCGAGCCACCGAUUGAAAGUGGUGGUCAAUACCGCCGGAAGACGGCGUUGGACGCUGAGACCACGGUCAAAGCGGAUUCGUUAAUACCACGCUGGCGAGAAAAGCCUGGCAGUGUUCACCAGGGUGCCCGUACCGUAAUCCGACACAGGUGGGUGAGAUGAGUAUUCUCAGGCGCGCGAGUGAAAUCUCUCUAAGGAACUCGGCACAUUAGCCCCGUAACUUCGGAAGAAGGGGCGCCCCGAACGGUCAGAUUAUAUCAAAGCCGAUUGGGGCCGCAGUGAAAGGCGCUCUGCGACUGUUUAACAAAAACACAGCUCUGUGCGAACUCGCAAGAGACGGUAUACAGAGUGACAAGUGACCAAUGCGGAAAGAUUAAGGCAAGGGGUCAAGGCGCAAGCCUGAAGCUCUGAACUUAAGUCCCCGUGAAUGUCGGCCGUAACUAUAACGGUCCUAAGGUAGCGAAAUUCCUUGUCGGGUAAGUUCCGACCUGCACGAAUCUUGUAACGAAAGAGCGACUGUCUCGGAGAGAGGCUCGGCGAAACUGUAGUUGCGGUGAAGAUGCCGCAUACCCGCAGUAGGACGGAAAGACCCCGUGCACCUUUACUGUAAGCUGAUAUUGGACUUUGAUGUGUGAUACGUAGCGUAGGUGGGACCCUUCGAAACCGGGCUCUCGGGCCCGGUGGAGGGAACAAUGAAACACCACUUUUCGCUCAUUAAGGUUCUAACCACGUGCCGUCAACCGGCCGCGGGACCGUGUCAGCGGGUCAGUUUGACUGGGGCGGUUUCCUCCCAAAGAGUAACGGAGGAGUACGAUGCUUGGCUCAACCUGGUUGGCAAUCAGGUGUUGAGGAUAUGGCCACAAGCCAGGCUCACUGUGAGACCUACAAGUCGAGCAGACGCGAAAGCGGGUCCAAGUGAUCCGGUGGUUGAAUGUGGAAUCGCCAUCGCUCAUCGGACAAAAGGUACNNNNUCCUUAUCCACUGUGGGCGCAGCAGACGUGAGGGAUUUGUUCCUUAGUACGAGAGGACCGGGAACAGCGCACCUCCAGUAUUCCGGUUGUCCUGUCAAGGGCAGCGCCGGGUAGCUGUGUGCGGAAGCGAUAAGCGCUGAAAGCAUCUAAGCGCCAAGCGCCUCCCAAGAUUACGUCUGACGGUCGCAAGACCCUAAAGGCUCGGGGAAGACUACCCCGUUGAUAGGCCGGGUGUGUAAACGUGGCAACACGUGAGCUGACCGGUACUAAUCAGCCGUGAGGCUUGAUCAC
rnacentral:rRNA from 1 species